ACCAGGCCAGGGGUCUAUGACUCUGACUUAACGUAAACAACAAAAUAUAAAAUUGGGGUGCUAAUCAAUUCUGGUUAAGGAACUUUCGGAUUAACGUAACGGAUGUCAACUAGCUAACUUAGCUAACCACCAAAUCCCAAUUCGCAUCCAUCACUCAACAGAGGGCGAAGGAGGAAAUUACGUUCUUGGUAGAUUAAUUGCUUAAUGUGCUUGGAUGUCAUUUAUUGUGUUUCUAUUAAAUUCUUCUUAAUUUUCA